UAAUAAGACAUAAAUAUUUUGUUAGUGGGUGACAGAAACAUUCCCUUUGUGUAUUAUGUUAUUUUCUGCAAGCACUAUGUAGUCCGAGUAGGCCGAUAUCUAGCCUGUUAACACGUGUCUCGUUAGUUAGGUUUAUUUACCAAUACUUUAUAUUUUAGGCAGUUGGGCUGCACGAUAAAUCACACGCGAUAUUUAAUUUAUCUUGUCAGUAAAGCCGGUGUAUUCAGCGGUAAAUCUCCAUCACCUGCGCGCUUUCACACGGAGCAGCAUUAUAAAUUAGUGUUCGACUGAGUAACCCCAGAGUGCAGUCUGGACGAUGGGGCGGGGCGACACUUCGGGGCGGCCCAUAUUUGUUUUCCCCGCCUUUGACAUUUUCCUCCGAGCCAGCAGGGGGCAGUUUGCGAUGAAACAAACAGAACGGUGGCACCUGCAGCAGCAGAGUAAUAACGCUAUUCCACGUUGAUUGCAUGAGGAUGACGUGAUCAUGAGGUGGUGGUGUUCUGUUCUCCUGGACGGCUUCACUCCGCAAAUAGCUCAACCACUGAAGGGGGGAACUUCACCAUUCAAAAGACAAUGAGUCCAGCAAAGCAGAAGUUUUUCGGAAAGCGGCACAGUUUGCCUGGCUAGACAUUGUGGCCAACUGGAAGAAUUGUCCUCCUGUCUCCUGACCGGAACGAGUUCAGACGGAUGUACAGCAUCAGGGAACGCUUGCAGUGCAGAGCCCUUUUCAAGUUUAACCCACCAGGGUACAGGGAAGAGGCCGACGCGGUGAUCUUCUGGGCUUUUGUUUACACAUGAUUUUGUUCCAAGUUCAUUGAAGGGAAAUAGAGAAUGAACUGAGAUCAACUGGUUUUGAUGUAUUAAUUGAUGUCAUUUAAAGUUAAACUUUGCAUUGUAUAAUGUUUUAAUAACAAAAGCUAUGGCAAACACGUGCAUGACAACAGGUUUCAGUCAUUUACAUCAGUCUAUCAUUCUUUAAGGUUUCUCAUAUUUGAUGGUAACAUCAUUUGCUAUGCAUUGUUCAUAAUGAAUUUUUAAUUUAGUUGUGACAAUUUGGUGUA